UACGUAGGGUCCGAGCGUUGUCCGGAAUUACUGGGCGUAAAGAGCUCGUAGGUGGUUUGUCGCGUUGUUCGUGAAAACUCACAGCUCAACUGUGGGCGUGCGGGCGAUACGGGCAGACUAGAGUACUGCAGGGGAGACUGGAAUUCCUGGUGUAGCGGUGGAAUGCGCAGAUAUCAGGAGGAACACCGGUGGCGAAGGCGGGUCUCUGGGCAGUAACUGACUCUGAGGAGCGAAAGCGUGGGGAGCAAACAGG
rnacentral:rRNA from 1 species